GCCGAAAUAGCUCAGUUGGGAGGAAGCGUUAGACUGAAGAUCCUAAAGAUCCCUGUGGUUCAAUCGGGUUUCGGCA
rnacentral:tRNA from 1 species